GGCUCUUUGAAAAAGACAAAGAGUUUAAUCUGCCCGGUGAUUUUCUUUUAACGGCUGCGGUACUCUGACCGUACAAAGGUAGCACAAUAACUUGUCUUAUAAUUGAAGAAUGGAAUGAAUGAUUUAACAAGGGUGAAACUGUCUCUUAUAUAAUUUUUAUAAAUUGACUUUUAGGUUAAAAGGCCUAAAUAAAAUAAAAAGACGAGAAGACCCUAUUGUGCUUGAUGGAGAUAUCAAAAAAUUUUAUUAAUUUUUUGAUAUUAAAUUUUAGUUGGGGCGACUAAGGAAUAAUAAAAACUUCCUAUAAAUUAUAUAUAGUAAUUACUUAGGAUCCAAAUUAUUUUGAAGAAAGAAUAAGUUACCAUAGGGAUAACAGCGUUAUUUUCUUUUAGAGUUCAAAUCGAAAAGAAAGAUUGCGACCUCGAUGUUGGAUUAGGGAUAAUAGAGGUUGCAGGAGCUUCUAUGAUUGGUCUGUUCGACCAUUAGAAUCCU
rnacentral:rRNA from 1 species